rnacentral:rRNA from 1 species
GACGAACGCUGGCGGCGUGCCUAACACAUGCAAGUCGAACGGAAAGGCCCUGCUUUUGUGGGGUGCUCGAGUGGCGAACGGGUGAGUAACACGUGAGUAACCUGCCCUUGACUUUGGGAUAACUUCAGGAAACUGGGGCUAAUACCGGAUAGGAGCUCCUGCUGCAUGGUGGGGGUUGGAAAGUUUCGGCGGUUGGGGAUGGACUCGCGGCUUAUCGGCUUGUUGGUGGGGUAGUGGCUUACCAAGGCUUUGACGGGUAGCCGGCCUGAGAGGGUGACCGGCCACAUUGGGACUGAGAUACGGCCCAGACUCCUACGGGAGGCAGCAGUGGGGAAUAUUGCACAAUGGGCGGAAGCCUGAUGCAGCAACGCCGCGUGCGGGAUGACGGCCUUCGGGUUGUAAACCGCUUUCGCCUGUGACGAAGCGUGAGUGACGGUAAUGGGUAAAGAAGCACCGGCUAACUACGUG